rnacentral:rRNA from 1 species
UACGAAGGGGGCUAGCGUUGCUCGGAAUUACUGGGCGUAAAGCGCACGUAGGCGGCCAUUUAAGUCAGGGGUGAAAUCCCAGAGCUCAACUCUGGAACUGCCUUUGAUACUGGGUGUCUUGAGUAUGGAAGAGGUGAGUGGAAUUCCGAGUGUAGAGGUGAAAUUCGUAGAUAUUCGGAGGAACACCAGUGGCGAAGGCGGCUCACUGGUCCAUUACUGACGCUGAGGUGCGAAAGCGUGGGGAGCAAACAGG